GGAUGCUGCCUAAAUGCCUUAAAGGUUCCAGAUCCUGUCUGAUCUUGGAAGCUAAGUAGGGUGAUCCCUGGUUAGUACUUAAAUGGGACACUGCUAAUGAAUACCAGGUGUUAUGGGUU
rnacentral:rRNA from 1 species